rnacentral:rRNA from 1 species
GACGAACGCUGGCGGCGUGCUUAACACAUGCAAGUCGAACGAUGAAGCCGGAGCUUGCUCUGGUGAAUUAGUGGCGAACGGGUGAGUAACACGUGAGUAACCUGCCCUUGACUCUGGGAUAACUGCGGGAAACUGUAGCUAAUACCGGAUACGACCCUCGGAGGCAUCUCCUGGGGGUGGAAAGAAUUUCGGUCAAGGAUGGACUCGCGGCCUAUCAGCUAGUUGGUGAGGUAAAGGCUCACCAAGGCGACGACGGGUAGCCGGCCUGAGAGGGUGGCCGGCCACACUGGGACUGAGACACGGCCCAGACUCCUACGGGAGGCAGCAGUGGGGAAUAUUGCACAAUGGGCGCAAGCCUGAUGCAGCAACGCCGCGUGAGGGAUGACGGCCUUCGGGUUGUAAACCACUUUUAGCAGGGAAGAAGCGAAAGUGACGGUACCUGCAGAAAAAGCACCGGCUAACUACGUGCCAGCCGCCGCAGUAA